GGGCAUUGGGCUGGUGUUUGGGUUUAGUGACUAUUUGGGCCUUAUUGGGUCGAUUGGCUAUUGUAAAUGGACCGUUAUUGGACUGUUGUUAAUUGGACUUUUAAUUUUAAAUUUCUAUUGGUUUUAUUUAUUUUAUUUUUAGUUUUUUUGUGCUUUUGGGCCCGGGCAUAUUGGGCCUAUUACAAUUUGAUACCUUAACUUUUACAUUGUCAUUGAUUAGUCCAUUUUAAUGUUUUCUUUUUGUUACAUGGCUCUAAGUGAAUUUUCUUUUUUGUAAUUUCAAAAUGGCAUGUCAGCGAAUUUAACAUCAAAGUAAAAUAGGACUAACAAAAUAGGACUAACAAGUUAAUAAAAAAAUG
rnacentral:lncRNA from 1 species